rnacentral:lncRNA from 1 species
GAGAGCAUGAAGAGUAAAUAAUUUCAGUUACCCAACUGGCUACAAGCCACAGGGCCAAGAGAAGCAGCACUAUCUCUCUGAAAUCCCUCCUGUAGAAACCAAAACUUAAAGGCCUCGAUGACCCAGAGCCAUCAAGGCACUAAAAGGGAAGGCUGUCGGGACCUAUCUGUAUGGACCUUGCCCUGGGCUGCAUGCACUGUUUGUGUAAAAUUAAACUUUAAAGCCACGUGUCCAACCCAUGGUUGCCAGGCUGUUCUGGUCUGGAUAAGCCUUGGCUUGAGCCUGUAGGGAGCAGAAAACAAUCUCCUCUCAAGCAAUGAGUGGCUGUUCCACUGAGAGGAUUGAUUAAUAAGCAAAUCUUAAUAUCACAGGGAAAUGAUGGAGCAAGUAUACAACUCUGUAUGUUAAAAAUGUGUUGAAAGGCUUGUCACCUUGCAGAAAAGCCCCUUGAGAGAUCACUUGCUGACUGGGG